GAUGAACGCUGGCGGCGUGCCUAAUACAUGCAAGUCGAGCGAACAGACGAGGAGCUUGCUCCUCUGACGUUAGCGGCGGACGGGUGAGUAACACGUGGAUAACCUACCUAUAAGACUGGGAUAACUUCGGGAAACCGGAGCUAAUACCGGAUAAUAUAUUGAACCGCAUGGUUCAAUAGUGAAAGACGGUUUUGCUGUCACUUAUAGAUGGAUACGCGCCGCAUUAGCUAGUUGGUAAGGUAACGGCUUACCAAGGCAACGAUGCGUAGCCGACCUGAGAGGGUGAUCGGCCACACUGGAACUGAGACACGGACCAGGCUCCUACGGGAGGCAGCAGUAGGGAAUCUGCCGCAAUGGGCGAAAGCUUGACGGAGCGACGCCGCGUGAGUGAUGAAGGUCUUCGGAUCGUAAAACUCUGUUAUUAGUGAAGAACAAAUGUGUAAGUAACUAUGCACGUCUUGACGGUACCUAAUCAGAAAGCCACGGCUAACUACGUG
rnacentral:rRNA from 1 species